rnacentral:rRNA from 1 species
ACGAACGCUGGCGGCGUGCUUCACACCUGCCAGUCGCACGGAAAGGCCCUGCUUUUGUGGGGUGCUCGCGUGGCGAACGGGUGAGUAACACGUGAGUAACCUGCCCUUGACUUUGGGAUAACUUCAGGAAACUGGGGCUAAUACCGGAUAGGAGCUCCUGCUGCAUGGUGGGGGUUGGAAAGUUUCGGCGGUUGGGGAUGGACUCGCGGCUUAUCAGCUUGUUGGUGGGGUAGUGGCUUACCAAGGCUUUGACGGGUAGCCGGCCUGAGAGGGUGACCGGCCACAUUGGGACUGAGAUACGGCCCAGACUCCUACGGGAGGCAGCAGUGGGGAAUAUUGCACAAUGGGCGGAAGCCUGAUGCAGCAACGCCGCGUGCGGGAUGACGGCCUUCGGGUUGUAAACCGCUUUCGCCUGUGACGAAGCGUGAGUGACGGUAAUGGGUAAAGAAGCACCGGCUAACUACGUG